rnacentral:tRNA from 1 species
UGCGGAUGUGGCGGAAUUGGCAGACGCGCAGGUUUCAGGUACCUGUGAGCUUACGCUCUUGAAGGUUCGACUCCUUUCAUCCGCAU